UAUUGGAACCACCAGUAGAACCACCAGCCCCAUGUGUUCCUCCCAGGAAUGGCUGUGGCAAAUGGCUGAUGAACUUCCUUUCCACAGAGCAGUAAAGCAGGGAAUUCCUGAACAGCUGGGAGGACAAAGUCUUGACAACUACAGCAUCAGGGAUACUACUAGAGGCAGUGAUCUCCCUCCCCUCUAAGGUGAAGCUGGCAGAGCUGUGUGUUCAGCCGAGCCACACAGCUCCUCAUUUUCCAGGGGCUGUCCCUUGCAUGCCCUGAAAUAGUCUCCGUGGAUCAGAGGAAACAUGAAAAGGAUUUUUCAACACAAGCAAACCAACUAAACAAAAUCUGACCUGUCUCUUUAUCCUUUAGCUGGAAGCCUUUUCUUCUAAAGGAAUCUCAUCCAACAAGAGAGUAAUCAUAUCUGUGGCACUGAGAGCAAAACAACAAGCAAUUUCCUGUACUUUUGUCUUUCUCAUUUUCCACAAGUGCAAAUAGCUUCAAUUACUUCCUCAAAGUUUGAUGAGUUCCACAGUGGGGCCAGUGAUUAACUGCAAGGGAAAUUUUUACUUCUCUCCUUGACUUGUGCUUUUUGCUACCAGUUAAGCCAUUCCACAGCAGCACUGCACGUCAGUCCUACCUAAUCACCUGCAUACACACACCGGGGAGAGGAAGAGGUGGUAACAGGAACGGCCCGGCUGAAAUGCUGCAGAUGAAAGACUUUCCAUGUGGCUUGCCUCCUGUGCUGAAUGCGUUGAGUCAUGCUCUGCACACCAGAGCAUGAGUAAGAGAGCUCAGCCUGCUCUGAAGCUGUGUUUUAUUGACAAGCUGACAACAUCAGCUCCUGUUGCCAGUCUCACUCCCUUGAGUGGCUCUCUGCGUGACUUCCCCUGCGCUGCUCUUCUCUGCCCAAACAGGCAGGGCCAGCCGGAGCCACCUGCCACCGUGACUCAACAGAUCAAGACCACAUGCCUGCAGGAGUUCUGCCUCACCUUCUUAUACUGCAUUGCCAUAAUACAUGAAUAAAGACUGACUUCAGGAGCAGUAGGGGAAGAAAAGGGGUAGGUUUUGUGU